CACUAGUUGGCGGGGUAAUGGCCCACCAAGGCGAAGAUCGGUAGCCGGCCUGAGAGGGCGCACGGCCACACUGGAACUGAAACACGGUCCAGACUCCUACGGGAGGCAGCAGUGGGGAAUUUUGCGCAAUGGGGGAAACCCUGACGCAGCAACGCCGCGUGGAGGAUGAAGCCCCUUGGGGUGUAAACUCCUUUCGACCAAGACGAUAAUGACGGUACUGGUGGAAGAAGCACCGGCUAACUCUGUGCCAGCAGCCGCGGUAAUACGUAGGCAGCAAGCGUUGUUCGGAGUUACUGGGCGUAAAGGGUGUGUAGGCGGUUCUCUAAGUCUGGUGUGAAAUCUCCCGGCUCAACUGGGAGGGUGCGCCGAAAACUGGAGGGCUAGAGUGCGGGAUGGGAGAGUGGAAUUCCUGGUGUAGCGGUGAAAUGCGUAGAUAUCGGGAGGAACACCCGUGGCGAAAGCGGCGCACUGGACCAUAACUGACGCUGAUGCACGAAAGCUAGGGGGGCAAACAGGAUUAGAUACCCUGGUAGUCCUAGCCCUAAACGAUGAUUGCUUGGUGUAGCAGGUACCCAAUCCUGCUGUGCCGCAGCUAACGCGAUAAGCAAUCCGCCUGGGGAGUACGGUCGCAAGGCUGAAACUCAAAG
rnacentral:rRNA from 1 species